rnacentral:lncRNA from 1 species
UGUAAGAUAAUUAUUUUGAGUUUUGUACUAAGUUGCUUUGGUUUAUCUAAUUCUGUUUUGAUGAUUUUUGUUUGGAACCUACUCAAAAGCACACUUGUGAGAAAUUGAGCGUAAAUUGUAAGCAUACACUUUAUAUGCUUGUAUUUAUUUCUUGUUGAGAGUGCCAAUUACUGUCUUUACUUAUAGAACUUGCUCGGUAAUGCUUAUGAGGGCCACAAGGAGAGUUUAACACUUUGGUAUGAUAGAGGCACUUAGGUUUUUCAUUCUAGCCAAAUAGCCUUCAUUCGUUUAUUGAUUAUGUAGAUAACC